AGGAAAGGAAAGGAAAGGGACACAAAAGAAAGAAGAAUUUCUUUCUUCCUUUCUCUUUCUCUUUUUCUUGAUUUCUUUCUGUCUUACUCCCCGUUUGUUUGCU
rnacentral:ribozyme from 11 species